rnacentral:lncRNA from 1 species
AAAAAAAAAAUCCUGUGUGUCGUUGAUUAAUCUGAUAUUUUCUUUUUAACAUUUUUGAAUUUGAAGCGAUUGCAAACUUGAAAUGAUGACCCCGUGAUCCAGCACUAUAUUGUCAAUUUUUAACAAUUUUCAUAAAUUUUUGUUAAUUGUUAGAAAAUAUUUUCCACUGUAAUUACUGGGCCAAGUUCAUUAUAGAUAGAGAUAAUUGUAGCAACAAGAAUAUUCAGUAAAGAAAGAUCUACAAACACAUCACCAUCACCAAAACACA